rnacentral:rRNA from 1 species
GACGAACGCUGGCGGCGUGCCUAAUACAUGCAAGUCGAACGCAGUGGGGACGGGUGAGUAACACGUGGGUAACCUCGCAUCAGAGGGGAUAACCCUUGGAAACAGGUGCUAAACCGAUAUUGGUGGAUGGACCCGCGGUGCAUUCGCUUGUUGGUGAGGUAACGGCCCACCAAGGCCACGAUGCAUAGCGGACCUGAGAGGAUGAUCGGCCACACUGGAACUGAGAAACGGCCCAGACUCCUACGGGAGGCAGCAGUAGGGAAUCUUCGGCAAUGGGCGAAAGUCUGACCGAGCAACGCGGAGUGUGUGAAGAAGGUUUUCGGGUCGUAAAACUCUGUUGUUAGAGAAGCGUUAUCUAACCAGAAAGCCACGGCUAACUACGUGCCAGCAGCCGCGGUAAUUC